rnacentral:tRNA from 1 species
AGGAUAGUAGUUAAUAAUAACAUUUGAAUUGCACUCAAAAAGUAUUGAAAGCAUCAAUCUAUCUUG